GACAGAGGUGCCAAGCGUUAGGCGGAAUCACUGGGCUUAAAGCGUGUGUAGGCGGAUCGUUAAGUGCCUUGUGAAAUCCCACGGCUCACCCGUGGAACUGCUGGGCAUACUGGCGGUCUUGAGCCACCUAGGGGCAACCGGAACAAACGGUGGAGCGGUGAAAUGCGUAGAUAUCGUUUGGAACGCCAAUGGUGAAAACAGGUUGCUGGGGGUGUGCUGACGCUGAGACACGAAAGCCAGGGGAGCAAACGGG
rnacentral:rRNA from 1 species